GGCUCCAACUUUCUACAGCACCAAUAUCUGUAGCAACAUUUAGUCGUUGAUCUAAAAUUAUCAUAAACUUAAAUACCCAUAGAUUAAAAUUCGGCGGACUCCGUUUAUCAACGGUUCUCAAACAUAUGAACUCUAUUGACAUAAAUCAUAAAUUUCUUAUAUAAUAAAUUAUGACUGGUUUGAUAUACCAAUAAAUCUUUUCCAUAGUGAUUCGAAGUAAAAAAGAAAAAUUUAGCAUAAAGCAUUAAUAUCAUUUGUUUUUAAAUUACAAUGCUGAGAUUUAUAAUUGUUUCAAACUUCAUAUCGUUUAAUAUUAUUUCGCUUCAUCAAAACAGUAUCAUAAGCAAUCAUUAGUAUCAAACUAAUUCAAUACAAAAUUCGGAUGUCACUUAACAAACCUGUUUUAAACAUCAAUUCGAAACAAAUACAGUUGUUACAAUAAUCAUUCGACUUUAAGUCAUAGCGGCAACAAUUUACAGUUGGUACAUUCUCAGAUUGAAAUUACCUAGCGUUUAGGACAAAAAGUGUAUACCCCUGAGGAUAGAUCAUUUUCAAAAAGAAGCCGCUAGGGCGGCACUACGUUCGCUAAUGUCCGGAUCAUGGCGUCCGUUUGUUAUUGCUUAUUAAUAACACCAAAUUGACAUUCAGUUAGUUAAUUAGUUUUUUAAUUAAUAAUCAAAGUGAUAAUAGUUUAAAAUGGUGAAUAAAUGUAUAGUUGAUGGGUGUUUGAGUGACCGGAUAAAAGAUCGUAGUGAAAAAUUAAAAUUGAAUAGUCGAAAUACGUCUUUAUUUAUUGUGCCACAGUGUCCAGACUUGUUAAAAUUGUGGAACCGUGGAUUAAAGCAAGAUUUCACCCCAAAAAAAGAUUAUGUCUGUGAAUUACAUUUUAAUGAUAAAUAUAUUAUUAAAACUGAUAAAAUAUUAUUGACUACUGGAAUUUAUGAAGAAUUACCUCGAAAAAGACACUCGCUAAAGCUUGGUGCUAUUCCGACGUUGAAUCCGAACCGUGUAAACAAAGCUUGCAAUAAUGAAAAUAACGAAGCUCAGUAUAUGCAAUGCCAUUUAUUACUUACUAAUGACCAUAAAACUAAUUCACCGCAAAACCAAGAACCAAUAAUUAGUAAUGAUCUCAUAAACAUAAUUAAUUGUGAGUCACCAGAAUGCAUUGACGAAUUUGAAAAUUUUGAAGAAAAUGACAAUUGUGAGAACGAAAUGCAGGAGUUUUUGAAGGAAUUGGAAGACUGUGAGUUGUGCGAAGGGACUGGAUUUAAUGAGGAAAGAUAUUCAUUGGCGUGUUCUGGUGUGUCAUUGCCUGACGAACAAUAUAAGAAACAGAUGAAUCUUUUUCGAUGCUUUGCUUGUCGGCAAUUGAGACGGAAAUUGCAAAAUCGAUCGUACAAAGUCAAACCCGACAUUAAAACUAAACAAGUUCAGCUCCUCAAACGUAAAAAUGAAUUACUCAUCAAAAUUAUAGAAACGCAGCGACUUAAUUGUAUGGCAAUUAAAGAUGAAGCUCUAAGAGCGGAAAUUUCUAUUUUGCCUCCCGUGCAACAACUAGCAAUUCGUGCUUGUUUUAAUGCAGUAAAAGCUAAAAAUGCCAAACAACGAAGAUAUACGGUUGAGUGGGUUUAUGAAUGUUUGCUACUUCGUAUAAAAAGUGCUGCGGUAUAUGAACGACUCAGACAACGUCAAAUUCUCCCUCUUCCCUGUAAAGACACCCUUAACAAAUAUAUUCAGAAGUUGGAUAGCGUUUUUGGUUUCCCUAAAGCCAUAUUCGACACUCUUCGUAUUAAAAGUUCACGUAUGGAACCACAUGAAAAACGGGGUGCCCUUUUAAUAGAUGAAGUAGCUUUAAGUGAAGCCGGGAAGCUAAAUCGGAGGACUAUGCAGCUUGAUGGUUUUGUAGACUUGGGGGCACAUACUCCGGAAAAUUUAAUCAACAGUCGGGCUGAUAGUGCCUUAGUCUUCAUAUACCAACCUUUUCAGGGUGACUGGGUGCAAGUAGUUGGUAGCUUCCUGAGCAGAAAUUCUGUCACGAGUGCCAUUCUUAACAAAUUACUCAUUGAAUGCAUCGUAUUACUGGAGAAUGCUGGGUUUUAUGUUGAUGUCAUUACUUCUGAUGCAGCUCAAUAGAACAGAGGAGCAUGGAUGGACACUUUUCGGUGUCAAAGAUGGACAAUGUAGCUGUGAUCAUCCAUGCAAUUUUGACCGCAGGCUUUGGUUUAUUUCGGGUUUUCCACACUUAAUAAAAUGUUUCAGGAACAAAAUCAUGGAACGAUUGUUUUUUUUGGAUAAGCUUCUCUUAUAAUAUGAUUUUUAACACCAGUGUACUGUUAUUCACGAUUGAAUUUUCAAUUUAGUUAGCGUUGGAAUAAACAUAUUCAUAAACUCCAGAUGGUUUUGUAAGAAAAAGUCAUUGGGAAGCUUUAUUAUUGCAUGAAACUUAUUUGAAAGCCAAUCUAAAAAUAGCUUAUCAACUAACUCCCCAGCAUUUAAAUCCAGAAGGAUAUCAAAAGGUGAAUGUCCCGUUGGCUUAUCAGCUUUUUUUCGAAAAAUAUACAAGUUGCAAUGGCGACUUAUAAGAACGCUACUCCUGAGCUCAGCGAUUACGAUCCAACAAUGGCUUUUGUUAAAAGAGUAAAUGAUUUAAUUGAAGCCAUGAGUUCACGUACUCCUUUGAAUGCUUUACGUUUAAAUGAUGAUUGUCCCCGAAAAAAGCGAAAAUUAUAGUUAAAAACGGAGAACCAUUGUCAACAUAAAACCAUCAUUAUACCAUGUGUACAUGGUCACAUGUUAUAACCAAUAUUGGAAAAUAUUUAUAAAGUAUAUAUAUGUAAUAAGUGAUUUUAUUGAUUAUCUGAAGAUUUGGGAAGCCAAAGCUAAUGAAGAAAAAGAACUUUAUAAAAAGAAGAAGAAAGGCAAAAAACAAAAAUCAAAAAAUGAAAAUGAAGUUGAUGAUAAAUUUUUUUUGCAAUUACUCCUAGUACUCUUACUGGAUUAAAAAUUACGUUACAGGCUACUUUAGAGCUAGGUGAAUUUUUGCAAAAAGAAUGUAAUUUUGAGUACUUGAUGACAUCGCGGCUUAAUCAAAAUCAAUUAGAAUUAAUUUCCAGAAGUUCUUCGGUAUAAUGCGGAGUGUUUGUCGUUGCAACGAUCAUCCGGAUACAAUCCUUUUCAGGCAAGUUUUUCGAUUAUUGUGUUCAUAUUCGCUAGUCACGCCGCCGAAAGGGUCCAAUGUAACAGCUGGUGAAUUACUACAAUCUUUAAUGCAGUCCAAAGAUUCUCUGGCUGCAGCUAAUGCAUUAAAAAAAAAUUGGCUGAAUGAAAUUGACGCUAUUGUUGAAAAUGGUAUUUCUAGUAAUAAUUAUUCGUCUAGUGAUGAUAAUAAUAAUACAUUUUCUCAUCCAAAUACCUCUGUGGCUAAAAAACCCUUUGAAAACUUGUUAGACGAAGAUAGUGAUGACGACAAUGAUGAUACUAUGCCGUCAUUUAUUAGAAAACCAUUCGAAAGUUUAUUAGACGAAGAUAGUGAGGAUGAUAUAGAGAACGAUGAUAAUUUGUAUCACGAUAAUCAUUAUCCGUUCGAAAAUUUAACUGAGAUUGACGAUUCUUCUACUGAAAACAACAUUAAUAAUCAUAAUCAAGAUAAAAUUAAUAUUGAUUCAAAUGAAAACUUUUUACAAAGUGAAAAUGAUUGGGAAGGAAGUAAUAGUUUUCGUGAUGACCAGCAUUACCAUCAUGAUUAUGAUGUUGUUUCCACCAGUGAUGGUAUAGUUGCUUAUAUUGCUGGAUAUGUUGCGAGAAAAUUUCAGCGAAUGACUUCCUGCUGUGAAUGUAUUGAAACAUUACGCUCUACGAAUUCCUCUGAACGUGAUCGGGUCAUAGAAUUAAUGAGCAACAGUGGAUUAAUUUUUCCCAGUGAAAAUUUAUUCAGACUGAUUAAAAAAUUGGAACAAGUAGUUUUAACCGUAGUUGGUACUAAAACCGUUAAAAUUAAUACUAUGCACCAAGUGCUAGAGAAAAUAGCAAAAGCUAAAUGCCUCCCAAUCCUAGGAUGUGAUGAACACAAAAAGAAGCUUAUAUUCUAGUUGAUUUUUGAAAAUUAAUAAUUUUUAGUUCUGUAAAAAGUAGAAUAUUAAGACAAUAAAUACUCUAUAAUGUAUUA